AUGAAUGCCAUGACGAAACCAAGUACGCCCCGAUCCAUCCUGUCCAGAGAGCUGCCGUUUGGUGCAAGGCAGCACAGGCAUCCGGGCGGAAUACCUUUCCGAGCAGCUUCCUGAACGCGGUCUGUCCGCAAGUAGGCGAAGACGGGUGCGCCCGAUACCGCGCAGUGGGCAUGAUCGUGCCCGUUGAGGCCGCGCAGGCGGUAAAUAGAGGUGGUACCACGGGAGCUUCUCGUCCUCUGC
rnacentral:ncRNA from 1 species